UAUAAAAUUAAGACCACUUUGGAGUGCUGAUUUCACAUGGGGAUUUGCGAGCAGCAUAAUUGUGACACAUACAUACGCUCCGUGAGUGUGGUGGGAGUUCUCUGUAAGAUUUCAUUCUCUCUAUGCAAAACUGAAACACAGUGCUUUAAAUGUACCCUAGAGAGUUUUUCUUAGCAACGGAGAGCCUCCUGGUAAAACAGAAGAGAGACAGAAGAUGAAAAUCCUGCAUGUUUACACAGCAAUUGUCACCACAGCAUUCGAGUGCGUUUCACCCUGGGAAUCAUGGAAAACACUGAGCUGCUGUUCAGCUCACAGAGCCGCUACACACGGAGUUGGGGAGCACAGGGAACACAACUGGCCCGGUUUCUGGCAGCCAACAGCUCCGGGUGGUACCACCGCAUGGAGCUGCGUGAUUUUGCCCUGCUGCACCCUUCCCUUCCAGGUGCUGCUCCAGCAGAUCUCUGCAUUUCUGCUGCCCGCUGCCUUGGCAGAGCUGAGAUUUGGGGCUGGUUUCUGUGCCCUCCUGCACAGGAGACAGCACAGAUGGAUUUGCUGUCAGCCACAUGCAGCAGCAGCACAUCAUGGGGCAGAACAUGCACAGCCAGUCUCAUGUGAACAUGGGGUGCAGGACACAGCAGACACAGCGUUGUGCUAUAAUCAGUGACUCUUAAUCUUUCUGGCUCUCUGUAUUAAGGACGUUGUUGCUUUUGCAUUAGAGGAAUGAGAAUAGUCGUCUCCUCCCAAGACCUCAAGGUCCUGCCUUCAUUUGCCAUCAAGUGCUCCAUGAAACUCCAUUUCAUUAAAAUCUCUGUGCAGUGACCUCUGCACAAUAA